rnacentral:lncRNA from 1 species
UACAAUAAGACGUAUAAUAACAUUACUCAUUGCACCAAAUGGAGCAAGGCCCCACUUCAAACCAAGAGUUAUUUGAAAAUAAAUGCUUGAUAAUUUGGCAAUGAUAAAGAUGCUUUUAAUAAUGAAAAAUAAAAGAAACAUAGCCUCAAACUAUGUAAUAGAAAAAUGCGGGCAUUCUCUCUAUACAAUUUUGCUAUGUUAGCUGGAACUUAGGAAACCAGGUCACGCUUUGUCCUUGAUGCAUUGUUGGUAAAUUCUCCCCUCCCACUCCUCUGGGUCCAUAGCAUUUUGUCCUUCACAGCCCCUUUAUAGGUUAGAUGCAUUGUAAUUCCUUUAUUUUUUGAAGGACCUGAAUAAACAAUGCCUUGCAAAAUGUUUGUCGUCUCUUCAGUGAUGGAGCCACUCCCUGCCAUCUCUUCUUUUUUUGAAGGGAACUGGACAAACAAUGACCAACACCAUGUUUAUGACAUGUUGGUCUACUGUAAUAGAAGUGUAAACAUGAAAUUAUGAAUCAAUUCUGGGUUGUCGUGUAAGUGGCUGACUGGAGUAGCAAAGCUUUCUCCAGGGCACCACACACAACAUGAAUAUCCUAGAUGUGUUUUCCAAGUUAUAGAAUCCGCAUGAGGUAAUCAUGUGAGUCUACUAUAUAGAAAUUGUAGGCAAAAUUCAGAAACAAAGGUAACAUGUGUAGUGAGAAAUUGGAUAACAAAAGAAAUACUUUCAACCAAGUCCAGAGGAACACAUAGUUUGCCCAGGAACUUUUCACUGAAGUAACAAUGCAAUUAUUCAUAGCAUGUUUGUUCUAGAACCAAACUAUUCUUUAGGAAAUUGUGGAGACAAAAUUAUACGAAAAAGGGAGACACUCCUACUCAACCUCAGGAAAGAACCAUCAAUGAUAUUCAGCGUUUAGCCUUCGUACAGUAAUAACAUGUGCAUAUUCAUCCUAUUUUUCUUCUACCUUACCAAAUAAACUGGCCUCAAUCUUACAAAAAUUAUUUCUUGAUCUAGUCAGCUGCUCAAAUGUGUAAAUUAAAAUUUAAGUUUCCAGCAAUAUAGAAGUCAUCUUAAAAAACAUCAGCAUACUAAAUGACGAUGGAAACAAUAACACACAACCCGCUCACAUGACCAAAAAAUAAGCAAAGUGGGGUAAAGGAACACACAAAUGCAACAUUGAGUAACUCUGGAUGAGAGGACGACCAAUCAGUCAAACAUACAUAGGAUGCACUGAAAUCGGUAAACUAUUAUUAAGCGGAAAGAGUUGUCUAAAUUUCAGAAAAAAUGACAACAGCAUCAACAUGAACAAUUCUAAGAGAAAAAUGAAAACCCAAUACCUCGGACUUUUUUAACUUUUGGCCGUGUGCAUGUUUUUUAUGCAUUCAGCAACACUAAAAGAGAGACAAAUAUGUGAGUGCACAUGCUUUGGUAUUACGAAACUACACUCAUUUCAGUUAUAGACAAUGGUAUUAGGAAACUUCACUCAUUUCGGUUAUACACAAUGCAGACCAUAAGUUGGCGACUAUACUUCCAAAGAAAGAUGAAAUUUAAAAUGUGGAGAACAAAGUAAAGAGGCAGUACACGGUAUUGAAGCAAGAAAACAGGACAUAGUGCUACUAAUUCGGCUUAUAUACAUAGCAAAUGUAGCUUAUGUACAGUAGUGGUGAAUCCAUUAUGAACAAUAAUUUAGAUUUAUGCAUAUAGUAAUGCCAAGUUUUGACAAAAUCUGUAAUUGGUAUGAUUUCCCUCCCAACUGUUAUAGAUGAGCAUACUCCUAUAUAGGACUAUUUUCAAAUUAUCUAAAUUAGACCCACAGUAAUAAAACCUAGGGGCAACCUCAACAACAACAAAAUUAUUAGAAAUAAAGACUGCAAGUUAAACAAGCCAGACGCAUCAAAUUUUAUAUCUAGUUCUGAAAUUUUCAUCAUUCCAUAUUAGUCCAGAACUCCAGAUAGUUAGUUAUUCUAGACAAACUAACUCUGCUAAUGGAUUAAAAAAACACAUAACCUUUUUACAAAUGAGUAUAAGGUUUAGUGGUUUAAACAUUUACUUCCUCAAAUGGUCCAAUACUAAUUGCUCCAAAUGACAAGUGCCAUCUUUUAAUCCCCCUUCCUAGACAAGUGGUAGAUCAUCACACUGGAACUACUAUAGGGCUCAUAGCCUCAUGCUAGAGACAAGCAAAAAUUGUUCCUGGUAAAUUCUCAGCAAACAACUGUGACAUGCCGCCUGAGCACUUCUAAUGAGGGGCUCCAGACCGCUGGCCCCCAAAUUCAUCUCUGAAAUUGAGUUCAGUAGCAUGUCGUCGCUCUCAUGAGCACUCCCGUCCAGGUGCACAAAGAAGGAAAACACGACACUUACAUUAGGAAAUACCUACAGGGUCCACGGUGUGAUUCUCCCUUAACAAUGCGGUAUGGGACCUCCCAAUUUCUUGCACAGGGCUGGGAACCACACAACCAGCUCAACUGGGUCAACAUCAUGAGCGAUGAUGACCAGCUGAGGGUUGCUCUACAGCACAAAACACAAGGAUUAAUCACGGGAAUGAUUAUUGUAGCCACAAAAAGAUGCCAUGAAUAAGAAUUUUCCCCUACCGCAAGCGUUUGCCUGCAACUUUAAACUGAACCAGCAAGUUAUCAUGUCAUUUGUUACAAAGUAAUGCUUAGAAGACUAAUUUCAAAAGGGCAAGAGUCCAAUAUACUUUCAGAAUUUACAAUUUAGAUUAUCUUUUCUAGUACCAAUUCUAAACACAGCAAAACAGUUUAGCUCCUGUUAUUUAAGCUCACAGUAUUUCAACCAAGAAUUGUUCGCAUGUCAUAAUAUUUUUUGUAGUCGUGAUCCCAGUAGUAUUUAGUUGCGCAUUUAGGAUAUCAUAGUUAAAGCUAAACAAGAAUUGUCCUAGCAUAAUUUACCUUUCAGAAGCUUACAGUAGUAAUGUAAAUAGAGAUGGCUGAGACAUAAUUUUGUAGCAGAUCACAUCAGAGAGGCAAUAGAUUACAU